rnacentral:rRNA from 1 species
UACAGAGGGUGCGAGCGUUGUUCGGAAUUACUGGGCGUAAAGCGCGCGCAGGCGGCCCUUUAAGUCUACCCGUGAAAUGCCGGAGCUCAACUCCGUGCACGCCGGGGGAUACUGGGGGGCUGGAGACAUGUAGAGGCAAGCGGAGUUCCGGGUGUAGCGGUGGAAUGCGUAGAGAUCCGGAAGAACACCUGAGGCGAAGGCGGCUUGCUGGGCAUGAUCUGACGCUGAGGCGCGAAAGCGUGGGGAGCAAACAGG